rfam:Thioflavicoccus mobilis 8321, complete genome.
GGCCGAUUUCGCCCAGGCGGAGCUCGACCGCCGAGGCAAAUGAUGGUUGCGUUCAUCGACGCCCAUCGGGCCAAGCAGGGGGUCGAGCCGAUCGGCGCGCAGUUGCCGAUCGCCCCG